AGAGGCGGUGACGGAAAAGACGAGAGAGGGAGGUGCCUAAGGACGUUCCGUGGAGUGCUUGGGAAAGACGCUAGGCGUUCUAGAGGGCCGGGAAACGGAAAGACUGGAGAAGUUUCCACCCUCACUUUUCCCUCCUGCGCCCCCAGCCGGACCUUACCCAUUUCUUCUUAUAUCGAUGUCUCCGCGGGACCGUCGCGAGGUCCACACGCUUCAGCAGCUCCCGGACACCCCUCAGUGUCAGCGCAGCCAUAUCGGCGUGCUCCACGGGGUAAUUCCGACCGGAACCGCGACAGGAGACUCGCGUGUUCCGGGGAGGUGGUGAGCGCCACCCGGCGGGACACGAGCGAAAAAAGGGAAAGGAAAUACAUCUGACGCUCUCCCAGGACUCCGCGCGCCUCUACAGACUCCGCCCAGCCAGGAGUCCCCUGAAGGCUGCUGGAAAAAGAGCAACCUGGCACCCGGAAUAAUGACUCUGCCUGGAUGCUUAGAGCAGUGCGAGGGACUCCCAAGAAGCCCCUAGCCCACUUGGGGGACCAGGGAGGAUUAGGAGUUGGUGGUUGAGUACCGAAAGAGUUAGCUAGGCGAAAAGGGGCGGGAAGGGCCUCCUAGGCCGAAAUUGCAUGGAGGAAGAUCCUUAGGUAGAGGAAAAUGAGACCAGGCUUGUAGGCAGAAGCAGAUUUGCAGUGAAACAAAUGAAGCUUAAGUUUCGGGACCUGGCCGGGCGUGGUGGCUCACGCCUGUAAUCCCAGCACUUUGGGAGGCCGAGGCGAGCAGAUCACGAGGUCAGGAGAUCGAGACCCUCCUGGCUAACACGGUGAAACCCCGUCUCUACCAAAAAUACAAAAAAUUAGCCGGGCGAGGUUGCUGGCGCCUGCAGUCCCAGCUACUCGGGAAGCUGAGGGAUGGCGUGAACCCGGGAGGCGGAGCUUGCAGUGAGCCCAGAUCGCGCCACUGCACUCCAGCCUGGGCGACAAAGCGAGACUCCGUCUC
rnacentral:lncRNA from 1 species